GUUAGAUAGGAUUAUAUAGGUUAGAUAGGAUUAUAUAGGAUUAUAUAGGUUAGAUAGGAUUAUAUAGGAUUAUAUAGGUUAGAUAGGAUUAUAUAGGAUUAUAUAGGUUAGAUAGGAUUAUAUAGGUUAGAUAACUUACUAUUCAAGCUAACGUUGUUGUGUUUGUGUAAUACUUUGAAUAAGUUGAUUCUCAGUGUAUUUAUAUUAUUUUGGGUCGCUUUUUGGCAUCAAAACAACGUUUUUGAUAACGUUUGAUAGCAAAUGUUUAAUAACUAACGUUAAUUACAAACGCGGUGACGUUUGCUAGCAAUAUGGUUUUACAUUAAUGAAUUCAUUUAGUUAACUUAUAGUUUGAGGUAUGUUGUUUGCAAUUGUUUGCUGCAGAGCACAGUAAUUUAUGUGAGUAAAUAAACAUAUUACUUUUACAUCAACUCCCUAUUGUGCUCAUACGUUAUAUGAAACUUCCCCAGGAGCACUGUUAAAGUAUUUAGGAGGAGGCACUGACUCAGCCCAGGGGCAAUCCACCUCCUCAGGAGCAGCCAAGGCUGAUGAAUCAGGUCCAUCUCUAUCCUCUGCUCCAUCCACUGUGCCCACUGUCCUCUCUGCAACCUCAGCUGUACCUGGUCCUUCAUCUUUGGUCAUGGAGAUUGAUGUGUCUUCUUCAGGAUCCAGUUUGGAGCAGGGAUCAGCAGCUCCGCCAGUUGACCCAGCUGAGUGUCCCUCUUUCCUGUCAGACUCAGAAAGGACUGAACAGGUAUUAAGAGGGCCACUGCUAUAAAGGACACAUUCACAUUCCCAAAAAGACACGUGGCAGUAAUAGAGGGCCCCAAAAUCUAAUUUUGCUUAGGGCCCCAUGGAGGCUUGGGCCGGCCCUG